AACAAAAUUAGAGGUUGCGAAGACGAAGAAGUUAGUGGAGCGGUGAACGCACUGAAGCUGAUGGCGGCGUUCUUUGCCGAAAGAAAAAUUGUCACAAAAUUUUUCUUGGGCUGUGUGGUUAAAUCCUACAGACUGUCUUUCUGUCAGUACUGACAGAAAGGGGAGCUAAUCAAAAU
rnacentral:ncRNA from 2 species